rnacentral:rRNA from 1 species
AUUGAACGCUGGCGGCAGGCCUAACACAUGCAAGUCGAACGGUAGCACAGAGAGCUUGCUCUCGGGUGACGAGUGGCGGACGGGUGAGUAACGUCUGGGAAACUGCCCGAUGGAGGGGGAUAACUACUGGAAACGGUAGCUAAUACCGCAUAACGUCGCAAGACCAAAGUGGGGGACCUUCGGGCCUCACACCAUCGGAUGUGCCCAGAUGGGAUUAGCUAGUAGGUGGGGUAAUGGCUCACCUAGGCGACGAUCCAUAGCUGGUCUGAGAGGAUGACCAGCCACACUGGAACUGAGACACGGUCCAGACUCCUACGGGAGGCAGCAGUGGGGAAUAUUGCACAAUGGGCGCAAGCCUGAUGCAGCCAUGCCGCGUGUAUGAAGAAGGCCUUCGGGUUGUAAAGUACUUUCAGCGGGGAGGAAGGCGGUGAAGUUAAUAGCUUCACCGAUUGACGUUACCCGCAGAAGAAGCACCGGCUAACUCCGUGCCAGCAGCCGCAGUAA